AUAAUAUGUGCAAGAAUAGUAAAUUGCAUAAAAGUAAAGAGAAAAAAGUAAAUGUUAAUGGUUAAUGGUUAGUGUUAGUAGUUAGUGUGCCAUAAGGAAAAUUUAGCGCUAUGUUAAGCAAUCGUAAUUGGACUUAUGUAGAAGUCACAACUAUCUGAGGCCGGUCAAUAAUAAUGUAGGCAACAACAUACGUUAGAAGUCUUGAUUAGUGAAUCAAAUUUCCAACAGCUUGCCAUGCCCAAAAAAAA
rnacentral:lncRNA from 1 species